rnacentral:lncRNA from 1 species
ACUAUCAGCGAUGAUAGCUCUGUAUGUAUGUCCAUGGUGCUCGAAACUUAAUGUUAGCACCACAGUAAUUAUAUUUAACCGUAAUGUUCUCCCCAUUACGUUGAGAUAACGUUUGGAACAACGUUUGACAAAGGCAAGGGUGAGAACUCAAAAUGAAGAAAAGAAAAAAGAGAAAUGAAAUACUUAACGAACAAGACAAGGACGUUUUGACAUACAUGGCUUACACUGCUCUGUUAACAGAAUCUUUGUGAAACUGUUGGUGAUAAAUUUGUAUGUCCAUAUCUAUAACGGUUUACUAGAAGAGGCAAGAGACACUGGAGCAUAGUCUUAAAGACAAUAUGGACAUUACAGCAUGCUACAACAGUUUCCACAACUCUGAAUUGACAAGCUGUAUACACUCUCUACACAGGUCAAUCUACCUCUCCUGCUUUUCCUCACCAGAUUCUACUCUAAACCUCAAUCCUUCCACCUUAGAACUGCAACCCUCUGGAAUUCUUUCCUUGCUUAUGAUUUCCUGAAGGUAUCAACUAAAACAUGCUGACAUUGAGCAUGGACAGCAUCAGUGUCACUGGUUCAAGAAGACCUGCAAAUGUCAUGGGUACUCAUCUUUCUCCUAUGAGUAUAUAUUUUUUUUUAAAAGUGCAAAGCAGUUUGUAUGAUACAUUUGAAGAAAUGUAAUGCAAUAUAAGUAUUAAAGGCAUCAGCAGCUGAUGUAUAUGA